rnacentral:rRNA from 1 species
GAAUUGCGAUAAGUAAUGUGAAUUGCAGAUUUCCAGUGAAUCAUCGAAUCUUUGAACGCACCUUGCGCUCCUUGGUAUUCCGAGGAGCAUGCCUGUUUGAGUGUCAUUGAAUUCUCAACCAUGUCUUGAUUGAUUUCGAGAGCAUGGCUUGGAGUUGGGGGUUGCUGGCAGCCAAACUUUAAACUUUGUUUGAGUUGGUCAGCUCUCCUGAAAUGCAUUAGCGAUGGGGUGGCUAGUCUGUGGACGUGCACGGCCUUCGACGUGAUAAUGAUCGUCGUGGCUGGAGCGUCUUAGACCAUGCAUGGAUAGCUCAUCGCUUCUAAUUCGUCUAGAGUCCAAGCUUGAGCUUAGCUACUAGUCUGGUCGUGAGGCCAGUCGAACGCAAGCACAACUUUGACAACUGGAGAUUUUGGAAACUUGACCUUUGACCUCAAAUCAGGUAGGACUACCCGCUGAACUUAA